CGUAGGAGGCGAGCGUUAUCCGGAUUCACUGGGCGUAAAGCGCGUGCAGGUGGUUCGGUAAGUUGGGCGUGAAAUCUCCCGGCUCAACUGGGAGAGGUCGUUCAAUACUACCGAACUUGAGAGCAGAAGAGGAAGAUGGAAUUCCCGGUGUAGUGGUGAAAUGCGUAGAUAUCGGGAGGAACACCAGUGGCGAAGGCGAUCUUCUGGUCUGUUUCUGACACUCAGACGCGACAGCUAGGGUAGUAAACGGGAUUAGAGACCCCGGUAAUCCUAGCCGUAAACGAUGUGAACUUGGCGUUGGUGGGUUAAACUCCAUCAGUGCCGAAGCAAACGCGAUAAGUUCACCGCCUGGGGACUACGGCCGCAAGGUUA
rnacentral:rRNA from 1 species